rnacentral:rRNA from 1 species
UACGUAGGGGGCAAGCGUUGUCCGGAUUUAUUGGGCGUAAAGAGCGUGUAGGCGGUUAUACAGGUCCGCUGUGAAAACUGGAGGCUUAACCUCCAGACGUCGGUGGAAACCGUAUGACUAGAGUCCGGAAGAGGAGAGUGGAAUUCCCGGUGUAGCGGUGAAAUGCGCAGAUAUCGGGAAGAACACCCGUGGCGAAGGCGGCUCUCUGGGACGGUACUGACGCUGAGACGCGAAAGCGUGGGGAGCGAACAGG